AGGGUGCUAGUUUAAGAAAAACCUUCGAUUUCGGCUCGAAAAACUAUGGUUAAAGCCCAUAACACCCUU
rnacentral:tRNA from 1 species